CAGUUGUCCGAGUAGAUGUUC
ensembl:piRNA 21ur-15637 ncRNA